UACGUAGGGGGCAAGCGUUGUCCGGAUUCAUUGGGCGUAAAGAGCGUGUAGGCGGCUGGGUAGGUCCGUUGUGAAAACUCGAGGCUCAACCUCGAGACGCCGAUGGAAACCCUCCAGCUAGAGUCCGGAAGAGGAGAGUGGAAUUCCUGGUGUAGCGGUGAAAUGCGCAGAUAUCAGGAAGAACACCCGUGGCUAAGGCGGCUCUCUAGUACGGUACUGACGCUGAGACGCGAAAGCGUGGGGAGCGAACAGG
rnacentral:rRNA from 1 species